rnacentral:siRNA from 1 species
UAGCACAAAUCACGAAAAUGCC